UACGUAGGGGGCAAGCGUUGUCCGGAUUUAUUGGGCGUAAAGAGCGUGUAGGCGGCUCGAUAAGUCUGCUGUGAAAGUCCAGGGCUCAACCCUGGAAGGCCGGUGGAAACUGUCGGGCUAGAGUCCGGAAGAGGCGAGUGGAAUUCCCGGUGUAGCGGUGAAAUGCGCAGAUAUCAGGAAGAACACCCGUGGCGAAGGCGGCUCUCUGGGACGGUACUGACGCUGAGACGCGAAAGCGUGGGGAGCGAACAGG
rnacentral:rRNA from 1 species